rnacentral:rRNA from 1 species
GUUGUAUGGUUAAGUGACUAAGCGUACACGGUGGAUGCCUUGGCAGUCAGAGGCGAUGAAAGACGUAGUAACUUGCGAUAAGCCCAGAUUAGGUAGUAACAACCAUUUGAGUCUGGGAUUUCUGAAUGGGGAAACCCACUUACAUAAGUAAGUAUCAUUAACUGAAUACAUAGGGUAAGGAGGCGAACCGGGGGAACUGAAACAUCUAAGUACCCCGAGGAAAAGAAAUCAACCGAGAUUCCGAAAGUAGCGGCGAGCGAAAUUGGACUAGCCCUUAAGCUUUA